AUUGAACGCUGGCGGAAUGCUUUACACAUGCAAGUCGAACGGCAGCACGGGUGCUUGCACCUGGUGGCGAGUGGCGAACGGGUGAGUAAUGUAUCGGAACGUAUCCAAUAAUGGGGGAUAACGAGUCGAAAGAUUCGCUAAUACCGCAUACGCCCUACGGGGGAAGCAGGGGAUCUUCGGACCUUGCGUUAAUGGAGCGGCCGAUAUCUGAUUAGCUAGUUGGUGGGGUAAAGCUCACCAAGGCGACGAUCAGUAGCUGGUCUGAGAGGACGACCAGCCACACUGGAACUGAGACACGGUCCAGACUCCUACGGGUGGCAG
rnacentral:rRNA from 1 species